GCCUAAGUAGCUUACCAGAUAAAGCGCCGGCCUUGUAAGCCGGAAACGAGCGCUCCGCUCCUCAGGCU
rnacentral:tRNA from 1 species